UCGGGAAUUUUGGGCAAUGGGCGAAAGCCUGACCCAGCAACGCCGCGUGAGGGAUGAAGUAUUUCGGUAUGUAAGCCUCGAAAGAAUGGGAAGAAUAAAUGACGGUACCAUUUAUAAGCUCCGGCUAACUACGUGCCAGCAGCCGCGGUAAUACGUAGGGAGCAAGCGUUGUUCGGAUUUACUGGGCGUAAAGGGCGCGUAGGCGGCGCGGUAAGUCACUUGUGAAAUCUCUGAGCUUAACUCAGAACGGCCAAGUGAUACUGCUGUGCUAGAGUGCGGAAGAGGCAACCGGAAUUCUUGGUGUAGCGGUGAAAUGCGUAGAUAUCAAGAGGAACACCUGAGGCGAAGGCGGGUUGCUGGGCCGACACUGACGCUGAUGCGCGAAAGCCAGGGGAGCAAACG
rnacentral:rRNA from 1 species